AAUGCCAGGGUAGUGGGUAGAGAAUAUAUGUUGUAAUGCCAGGGUAGAGAAUAGAGGUUGUAAUGCCAGGGUAAUGGAUAGAGGAUAGAGGUUGUAAUGCCAGGGUAGUGGGUAGAGAAUAGAGGUUGUAAUGCCAGGGUAGUGGGUAGAGAAUAGAGGUUGUAAUGCCAGGGUAAUGGAUAGAGAAUAUUGGCUGUAAUGCCAGGGUAAUGGAUAGAGGAUAGAGGUUGUAAUGCCAGGGUAGUGGGUAGAGAAUAGAGGUUGUAAUGCCAGGGUAGUGGGUAGAGAAUAGAGGUUGUAAUGCCAGGGUAAUGGAUAGAGAAUAGAGGUUGUAAU